rnacentral:rRNA from 1 species
AGCCCGCUCAGAAACUACAAAGGAAUUGACGGGGGCCCGCACAAGCGGAGGAGCAUGUGGUUUAAUUCGAUGAUACGCGAGGAACCUUACCUGGGCUUAAAUGCUUAAUGACGUACUGGGAAACUGGUAUUUCUUCGGACAUUUUGCAAGGUGCUGCAUGGUUGUCGUCAGCUCGUGCCGUGAGGUGUCGGGUUGAGUCCCAUAACGAGCGCAACCCCUAUUGUUAGUUGCCAUCAGGUCAUGCUGGGGACUCUAACAAAACUGCCCGCGUAAGCGUGGAGGAAGGUGGGGAUGACGUCAAAUCAGCACGGCCCUUACGUCCAGGGCUACACACGUGCUACAAUGGCCGGUACAGAGGGCAGCCACUUGGUGACAAGGAGCAAAUCUCAAAAGCCGGUCUCAGUUCGGAUCGGAGUCUGCAACUCGACUCCGUGAAGUUGGAUUCGCUAGUAAUCGUAGAUCAGCAAUGCUACGGUGAAUACGUUCCCGGGCCUU